AGCACACUCCUUAGAUCCGUUUCAUUUUUGAUGUGAAACGCUUGAGUCAUAAGUGUGCCAGAGCACGACACCUCCAUUCUGAGACUGAUAUGUGGUGUUUUCUUUGGAUAUCACUUGUCUUAGAGAGGGGAACAU